UGACCUCAGGUGAUCUGCCUGCCUCGGCCUCCCAAAGUGCUGGGAUUACAGAUGUGAGCCACUGCACCCAGCCUCCUCCCCUCUUUCUCCCACCCUCUUCUUACUCCCAUUCCCCUCUCCCCAUCCAUUCCUGCGUCCCACUGGCUCACCUUGAGUUGAAUGCAGUACCCCUCCAACUCUUCUGCCUCUUGCCGCCUUCUCUCCAGAUUCUCGCUCAGCACAGAACACUCGCUCUGGAGCAUGGAAGGAGGAGAGCUGGUGAUGGAGUCUUUGGCGCGGACCAAUCCACUGUUGACCCCACUCUGGGGAAGAAUGGGAGACAGGGCUGUCUUGGACCAGCAGAUAGAGGACACAAUGAAACAGAAGAAGCCUGAAUCCUUGACAUGGAGCCACCAUACUCCAUUCCAACCACCUGUGAAGACUUUCAGGGGAACGAUAGCCUCAAUGUCAUAAGCAGCCACCUAUGAAGAGGCCCAUGUAGCAAGGAAUUGAGGCCUCCAGCCAAGGGCAGGUGAGUGCCCCAUUUUGGUAGCACAACCUCUGGCCCCAGUCCAACCUUCAGGUGACUGCAGCCCCAGCCAAAAUCUUGUUUGCAACCUCGUGAGACGCCCUGAGCCAGGCCCACCCAGCUGAGCCCCUCCAAGUUUGUUGUUUGAAGUUUUGGUGUAAUUGGUUUCACAGCAAUAGAAAGCAUUACACAAAGUGUCUUUCUAACCUGAAGACUCAGAAGGUCUUGGGUUUCCUGUGGGUAAUUGUUCUGGAAACCAAGGCAACAGGACCUAGGGCCAACUAAUUUCUCCCAGUUACUAGCCGUAUGACCUCAUGGAGAGGACUUCACCUCUCUGUGCCUCUGCUUCCCUACCUGUGAAAUGGAGAUAUAACUAACAACUACCUUCACAGGGUUCCCAUUGUCCUUCCUCCUACCUGGAAACUGACACUCUCUCAACCAGGGUCUCCAUCACCGCCUGGUUCUCUGUCCCCCUCUUUCCAGUUCUCUGUCCCCACCCAGCCCCUGUGUCUGUUCCUUCUCUCUCUGGGUCUCUAUCCCCCUCCUCUAUUUCUGGUCUUCUGUCUCACCCUGAUUCAGCUCUGUCCCCCAAAUCUCAGAGUCUCUGACUUAUUUUUCCUGAGUCUCUGCCUUUCUACUCUUUAGGUCUCUGUCUUCUUUUUUUUUUUUUUUUUUUGAGAUAGAGUCUCACUCUGUCACCAGGCUGGAGUGCAGUGGCACGAUCUCGGCUCUCUGCAACCUCCACCUCCCGAGUUCAAGCGAUUCUCCUGCCUCAGCCUCCCGAGUAGCUGGGAUUACAGGCAUGUGCCCCCCUCUGUCUCUGGGUCUCUGUCCUCCUCUCUCUCUGGGUCUCUGUCCUCCUCUCUCUUGGUCUCUGUCCCCCACUCUCUGGGUCUCUGUCCCCCUCUCCCUGGUCUCCCUUCCCCUCUCUCUGGGUCUCUGUUCCCCUCUCUCUCUCUGGGUCUCUGUCUCCCUCUCUCUCUGGGUCUCUGUGUCCUUCUCUCUGCCUGUCCCCGCCUUCUCUCUGGAUGCAGCUCAGGUGCUGGGUGCUGGUUCCAGCUCCUGCUGCCCCCCUCACCUCUCCAGCAGGCACCCCAAGGUCAUUACUUUUUCCAUUUCACAGAGAAGGAACUUGAAGCCCGUUAGAGGCCGACACUCCCCUGCAGCCCCACAGCGAGCUGGCAGCUGUGUCAGACCUUGAUCCUGGCUGCCUGGGGUACUUUCUCAGGCUUCACGAUCCAGUGGGGGAUGUGACUCAGAAAUAGCUCUGGUGGGAGGCAAACGGCUGCAAGUGCUGCCUGAGGGACACUCCCCAAGACAGGGCGGAGAGCUCUUCUGUCUGAGGGAGGAGAUGUCUCCCAGACAUCCUUCCCAGCCCAGACUCUUUGCCCUGUUCUCUGCAGCUCCUCCUCCUUCCCUGGACCCUCGCCCAGGCUCCCCUCUGGCCUCCCUGCCUCAGUCUCUCCCCUCCAAACAUCCCCCACUCAGCCCAAGGGAGUCUUGGGGAGAGAAAGCCCUUUUGCAUUAGUGACAAAAGCAGCAGCCUUCUUGUCUUGGUCCUGCUUCUUACAACCCCUCCAACCUUGACCUUGUGGAGGUUACUACACCACUGUCUACCUUAGUUGUUUCUUUUUUUUUUUUGAGACGGAGUUUUGCUCUUGUUGCCCAGGCUGGAGUGCAAUGGCACGAUUUCGGUUCACUGCAACCUCUGCCUCCCAGGUUCAAGC
rnacentral:lncRNA from 10 species